rnacentral:rRNA from 1 species
CGAAGGGGGCUAGCGUUGCUCGGAUUGACUGGGCGUAAAGGGCGCGUAGGCGGUUCGUACAGUCAGACGUGAAAUUCCUGGGCUCAACCUGGGGGCUGCGUUUGAUACGUGCGGACUUGAGUGCGGAAGAGGGUCGUGGAAUUCCCAGUGUAGAGGUGAAAUUCGUAGAUAUUGGGAAGAACACCGGUGGCGAAGGCGGCUCACUGGCCCGAAACUGACGCUCAUGCACGACAGCGUGGGGAUCAAACAGG